UGUUCGGAUCGCGGCGACGUGGGUGGUUCGCCGCCGGCGACGUCGCGAGAAGUCCACUGAACCUUAUCAUUUAGAGGAAGGAGAAGUCGUAACAAGGUUUCCGUAGGUGAACCUGCGGAAGGAUCAUUGUCGAAACCUGCCUAGCAGAAUGACCCGCGAACCAGUUUAUAAAUUUGGGGGAACGUGGGCAUCAUGCCUUGUUCACCCUACGAUCGGGGGAGACAGUGCUGGCCAUUGUCUACCCCGAUACAACAACGAACCCCGGCGCGGACUGCGCCAAGGAACUAUAACAAAAGAGCGUCAUCUUGUCGUCCCGGUAACGGUGUGCGUGCAAGUGGCGAUGUCUUGUCUAUAAACAAAACGACUCUCGACAACGGAUAUCUCGGCUCUCGCAUCGAUGAAGAACGUAGCGAAAUGCGAUACUUGGUGUGAAUUGCAGAAUCCCGUGAAUCAUCGAGUCUUUGAACGCAAGUUGCGCCCGAAGCCUUUUGGUUGAGGGCACGUCUGCCUGGGCGUCACGCAUCGUUGCCCCCCAAAACCAUAACCCCAAAAGGGAUAAAGGUGGUGUUGCGGGGCGGAUGUUGGCCUCCCGUGUGCUGAUGCUCGCGGUUGGCCAAAAAGCGAGUCCUUGGCGACAGUUGCCACGACAAUUUGUGGUAUGAGAAACCCUCGUUCCCUUGUCGUGCGUCCGCUGUUGCCUGUAGAGCUCUCUGCGACCCUUUUGCAUUGCGAUGCUUUCGUCGCGACCCCAGGUCAGGCGGGACUACCCGCUGAAUUUAAGCAUAUCAAUAAGCGGAGGAAAAGAACUU
rnacentral:rRNA from 1 species